GCCUUCUUUACGAGAGCCAUGAAUUGCAAAAUGCUCAACAUUUUCGGGAGGAGUACCUGCUGCUGGAAAUCACCCGCCAGAGCCCAUUGGUCAAAACAUCAAACUGGGAAAGGACUAUCGUUUGCAGCCAGCCAAUGUUCUCCGGCCCACCUUACGUACUUCGCCGUACUCGGAAACUCCAUUCAUCAAGUGCCGGUUCUCAAACGAAUGUUAGCUCCACUUCAUCGUUGCCA